rnacentral:lncRNA from 1 species
CAUAGCUCCCUGGACUUCCUCUAUUGUAGAGCUUACUAGAAUGAUUUCUCUCCCUCUCCUUUGCUCUACUGUAAGGUACGUGUGGGUGUGGAUCCUGUAAAUCUUCUUCACUGCUCCAUUUCUGGCAGCAAGCAGAUGCUUGGCAAGUCAUUCAUGUUCAAGGAAUAUUUACUGAGUGCAUAACUGAAGCACAAAAUGGUGAAAAAUGAUACUUGCUAUAUUAUCAAAGACUGACAACACCAGUUUCCUGAAUGCCUGUGUCAGCUUUUUGGUGACAAGAAAGGAUGAAUAAGACACGAGUAUGGCUUAAAGUGCAGCGAGAGACAGAAUAGUAAAUUUACGAAGCCAGAAAUGAAAAGCAGAAAGCGAAGACGAUAUAGGAAUUUACCAGCUAGACAGAAGAGACAGGGAAAGAAACUGGCAUUGAUCAUACUGAAUGUCAUCACAAAGGAGGUUUGAGAUACUGCUUUUUCCUCCCUGUGAAGUCCUGAGUCCGUGGAAAGGCCGAGGGGAGAAACGUCGGCAGCAACGUGGCAGCUCUAUUAGUGAUGGAAACUGGAUUGGGAAAUACAGUAUCACAUCUGUAACCUAGAGGUUUUACCAACAAUAUUUUGGCCUAGAAUUCAGCCUAGCACAUUCAAUGUACUGUGCCUACCCCACUCCGGCAGAGUGGGACAGUUGAAUCUUCCCGGAAAGGAAGAAGUUGUGGUUGCCCGGUGGAAAGCAGAUCACAGUGGAUACUUCCUGCAGUCAGUCAAGCUUCUGGAGGUAGAGGAUCAGGGAGGAGCUAAGAAAAGCAGCAGUCAAGAUGAACUAAGCCCCUUAUCCCCAACCCACAAGAUUCCAAUGAGAAGUGGUGAGGUCCUGGUAUGA